GAGAGGUGGCCGAGUGGUUGAAGGCGCACGCCUGGAAAGUGUGUAUACGGCAACGUAUCGAGGGUUCGAAUCCCUCUCUCUCC
rnacentral:tRNA from 1 species